rnacentral:rRNA from 1 species
AGAACGAACGCUGGCGGCAGGCUUAACACAUGCAAGUCGAACGCUCCUAGCAAUAGGGGAGUGGCAGACGGGUGAGUAACGCGUGGGAACAUACCCUCCGGUUCGGAAUAACUCAGGGAAACUUGAGCUAAUACCGGAUACGGCCUUUAGUCGAAGGAUUGGCGGCGAAAGAUUUAUCGCCGGAGGAUUGGCCCGCGUCCGAUUAGCUAGUUGGUGUGGUAAUGGCGCACCAAGGCGACGAUCGGUAGCUGGUCUGAGAGGAUGAUCAGCCACAUUGGGACUGAGACACGGCCCAAACUCCUACGGGAGGCAGCAGUGGGGAAUAUUGGACAAUGGGCGCAAGCCUGAUCCAGCCAUGCCGCGUGAGUGAUGACGGCCUUAGGGUUGUAAAGCUCUUUCGCUCGGGACGAUAAUGACGGUACCGAGAUAAGAGCCCCGGCUAACUUCGUGCCAGCAGCCGCGGU